UCUCUGAGUGGGGCGGGUCUGCCAGGGCCAGCCCAAUCCGGGGCGGGGGCGGGGGCGGGGUCAGUGCUGAGCUCGGACUUCCAGCCUCUGUCCCCCGGUCCCCGGUCCCCCUGCCACCCCGCCAUGGACGCGGCGCUGGCGUUGCAGAUGGGCGAGGCGGUGGCCGAGAAGGUGCUGCGGUACAGGCGAGACCCGUCAGGCUGGAGGAUUUGCCGGCAGGGCGAUGGAGUCUCUGUUUCCUGGAGGCCGUCUGUGGAGUUCCCCGGCAAUCUUUACCGAGGAGAAGGCAUUGUGGACGGGACACCAGGGAGCGUGUGGGACUAUGUGAAGCCACUAGCCGGGAGCCUUCGAGAGCAGUGGGAUGAGAACGUCACCAGUUUUGAGAUUAUCCAGAGCUUCACUGACACCCUGUGUGUAACCAGAACCGCCACCCCCUCGGCCGCCAUGAGGCUCAUUUCUCCCAGAGACUUCGUGGACGUGGUGCUGGUCAGGAAGUACGAGGACGGGACCAUCUGUUCCAACGCUUCCAACGUGGAGCACACCCUGUGCCCCCCGAAGCCAGGCUACGUCAGAGGCUUUAACCACCCUUGCGGCUGCUUCUGCGAACCCGUGCCCGGGGAGCCCAGCAAGACCAGGGUGGUCACCUUCUUCCAGACGGACCUGCGUGGCUCCCUCCCGCAGAGCGUGGUGGACGCCUUCUUCCCCCGCAGCAUGGCUGGGCUGUACGCCAACCUGCAGAAGGCCGUGAGGAGCCUGCAGCCAGGUGAACGUGAAACCCAACCCCAGCAGCGCUGCACACGAGUGUGGACAGGUUCGCAGAGCGCGGCCGAAGACGGGCGAGCACACCCACACGUGUCCCAGCCCCUGAAGCUACACCUGAUCUAAAGUUCUUACACUUCGCACGCGCGUGUGAGCUGUCGUUCCUUCUUAGGGUUUGCUGAGGGUGGCGGGGCCGUGGGCCGUGCGAGCCCGGGAUGGUGAGGCUCAUCAGGGCUUAUAGCACAGGCUCCUCUGGAGGGACACACAGCACUGCCACGUCCUGUGGGUUUCAGGCGACUGCUGGUAGCACUCUGGGGAAUAACGCUGUCACAAAGUGUUCGGGUUUCGGGCGGAGCACAGUGGGGUACCUAGUCCGAGUCUGGGUCUUAGCUGUUGGGCAGUCGAGGUCUCUGGAGUUACUGUCCUGCUUUAUUUCCAGUUCAGCUGUAGCUUUCUGUGGUCUCGUAAAAAUUUAACCGUGUUACUGAAAACCCUUGAACGUGCUUCGGUCGUAGUCUGUUCACUUCAGUCACAUGACCGUGGCGCUUUUGUUUGUGGCCGUCUCCCGUGGGCGUGUGGCCGAGCACGGCGUUACGCGCUGCUGCUCAGCGUGGGGGCGCUGUGAGGCCAGUGGUGCGGGCGACGUCCGGUAACCACGGACCGAACUGCCCUGUGUGGCAACGUGACGCCGGUGAACAGCGCCUUAAUUGCGCGUUCGUCGUUCGCGGUUGCAGUUCCGUCCCGAGCCGUGCGUUAUAGUACAGCCAGGGCCUAGUUUGUUCAGAAUGGAUGGUAGGGUCGCACAUGCGGACAGCAAGGACCACGCAGCCGUGAUGUGUGCGGUGGUACUCGGGGUUGGCCAGGGCGUAGUCGGCAGGCCGGGUGGAAACUGGACUAGUAUCAGAAAUUUAGGGUGUCCUCUGGCUGUGCCCUGCAUGCCUCCUGUUGGGUCACGGGGUCAUGUGUCCCACAGGAACAGUAGAUGCCGCGGGCCAGAGCCGAGAUGGUGAGAGGGAGCGUGGAGUGGGAGCCAUGGAAACGGCGAGCAUGGCUCUGCCGGCGGGAAGUCCUCCUCCGAUGCACCCCACACGGCGGCGUCUGAGAGAGGGGCUCGCCAGGGGCAGCUCGGUGAUGACUGCCGGUCCAUGGAGGACGCUCGACCUUGUGCUCGUGUGUAAGUCACAAGUGCCAUUGCUGUCACAGCAAACACGAUCUUGACGUGUCAGGUUUCUGUAAACGUGUCUUCUGUAAUACAGCUCGUCCCACACACAGCAAGAGCCGGGUAAGGAAUGUGGAUGCUCCAUUGGCAUGGAAAUGUGGCAUCACCGAGUGGUAACUUAUGUCCUGGCAGAUGUGAGUGACACAAGAGGAAGCAGUAGUAGCCUCUGAUGAGUGGUGUAUCGCUGGGAAAAGUUGUGUUUGGAUCUGUAGGGCUCGCCAGACCCCCGAAAGAUCUGAGAUUUCCUCACGAGGAGGUGCGCUGGAGCCGGUGGGUCCCGUGCCAAUUUUGAUGUAGUCGACCAAGAACAAUGACUUUUCGUGACAUUGGUCGUGGGUAGACGCCAUGUGGAGUGGCGAUGAACUGUAUUUCGUAGUGUUUUUGUGGUUUUGGAGGGUUUUCAUCCAAACCCUCAGCACCGUAUGGGGACUUGGGUUGCUUGGGAAUGGAGAGGUCAGUUGUGGAGUCGUGAUGAAUUUCGAUGGCUUUUUCCAGCUCGGUGGUGCUUCUGAUUUGUUUCGGGGGGAUGCCGGCCGUCUUCGGUGUAUCACUACGGCUACUGAACAGCGUUUAAUUACAGAAGUUACGCCGGUGUUGCGCAGGUUGGUAGAAGUCGCAUUUAAGUCGGAGGUUGGCAGACGGCGCUGUCUGCGACACUGGGGCUUUGGGGCAUCUCCGUGAGGGGCCUGUGGGCCUCGCAGCUUUACCUCGUCACGGUUCUGCGCCGUGCGCAGCUGCCGGUUAGUCCGUGGCUACUGCUGGCGGUGUGCGGAGAUGACUCGUGGAAACUAACGGUAAUUAGGGUCAUGGUUAACGCAACGAGAACAGGGCAGAAGUACCGUGUGGGUGGGCCUUUAUGGUUGGACACUAGUUUAGAAGAUUUUUGAAAUUGGGACACUUUGGUAAACCACUUUCUAGUAAUAGGGGUGCUGAUUCCAGUCCCGCCGCUGUGUGCCUGCACCGCGGGAGGCAGGCAGUGUGGAAAAGCGGGAAAGUAUCUGAGGUUAGAGGAGCCACAGCGGCCGGAAGGGCAAUUAAAGUUUAGCUUUUGUUAUAAGAUGGAGUUCACAUGCCAGGACGAAACACACUGUGGUUGCAGGUAGGGCCGUUAGUGUCGGAUGUUGAGUGCAGCUGUCUGUGGACUAGUCGGAGUGAUGUUGGAACGAAACCAGCGGAUACUUGCAGUGAAGAGGUGUCGGAUGGUGUGUUGGGGCAGGGCUGUUUUCGGGAAUCUGGAGCAGGAAGGCACGGUGGCCCUGGCAGAGCAGCGGACAGCCCCUAGGGCGUGGCGGCCAGCGCACAGGUAGGGCGCAGUGUCGAUGUGGGCGUGGCAGGAGCUUCGACCUGUCGCCCUGGGCGUAGACUCCUCAGUGGUAAGUGCGGUAGUGGUGACAAGGAAUGCUUUGAUAGGCCACCUGUCUCUUGGAUCUCUUGGUCACCGUUUAGGCUACGAACGACAGCCGGAACAUAACAGCAGGGCAUGUGGAACACGCGGAGGAACCCCUCAGUGCGGCUGGUCAGUGACAACAGUACAUAGCUAACUUGCUGGACGUAGAAAAGACGACUGAUUUUUUUUAAUACUGUGCGGACUGCGGCGCAUAGCAUGUGGAUGGCCCCUGCGCGUAGUGUUAUUGCUCAAGUAAGCUUAUUAUCUCUUCACGGCCAAAACUGGCUUCGCAGGAAGAUGCCCACUACAACGACCGUGCUGGAGGAGGGCCGAGGCGGGUGUGGGCCUUGCACGGCUGAGGGGUUCCCGGUCGAAGUCCCAGUGGGGUGGAUUUUCCGGUUGCAGCUAGGAGGAGUCCAGCUGAUGGGAGACUGGUAUUGUCAGUUGAGUGAAAAGUUGAAUAAAAAUCAUGCCAUCGACACGAUAAAUCCAGUACCCCAGAUGCUGCUAUGAAGGGUCCCUGGGCGUUUGUGUCUGUUCAACCAUGUCAUCAUCCCAUUAGCACAGAGGAUAUAGUUCUUCCUCCGAUAAAUAUCGAUUAAUGUCGCACUGAGAAGUGUAAGGAGAUCCUUAAAAAUCGGUUAUUACGGUCUGAGUGUGCGUGUGUCAGGGAUUCCGUGAUCGGUCAUGUGAUGAGUAGUGCUGCUAAUGCAUGUUACUGACUGAGGAGUUAACGCCUGAACCUAGUGUUCUUUUUAAAGUCUGAAUAAUUAUUGUGUGAAUUCAAGAUUACUGUUUCUUGGCCCGAUUGAAUGACUGUCGUAGGGAUUAGGCUGGUGGCAAAGGCAUAUGCAAUUGCGGCUUUUACAUAAUUCGGUGCCUCUUGCUUUUGUAGAUAGUAGAGCUCGUCGCUAAUCAGAUUGGUAGGAUUCAUAUAAGCAGAGAAGUUAUUACUGAGCAAGCAAAGAGAUUUAUUACUUUUAUUUGGAGUUCCACCCAGUUUUAGUUUUUAAGUCUAAUGGAUAACUCCCAUCCUUUAAAAGGUUGGAAGAGUCACAUCGUUCCGUGUGGAUACGUGGAGGCAUGAGUUAGCAGUUCUUGCAUGCUUUUUGGCUGUGAUGGCCUUAAGUAGUAGACACUUGAGAAGAGUAAGCAGCGGCACAGGUGAGUACUUAACGGCUGUGAGGAUCCACCUAGUAUGUGGGAGGGAUUAAUAAACACCUGCAGGAAAAGGGGUUAGUCCACAUUAGAACACUUUCUGAAUGCACGUUUUGUGAAGACACUGAAACUGUCUACGAUAAUGUGAUAUCACCAUCGCCAGAAGGUAAGUACAUUACUACCCAGAAAACAGGAGGCAGGAAGCUAGAGAGAGAGGGAGGGAGGACUGAGGAGACAGAGAGGGACCUAGAGAGACAGAGACCUUAGAGGAGACAUGACAGAGACUGUAGACAGAGGAGAGAGGAGUAUAGACAGACACAGAUAGUAGAACACACAAAACUUAAUAGGAGAUGAGAGACAGACGGGGAGAGAUGCAGAGAGACGAGGAGAGGGAGACGCACAGACAGACGGAAAGAGACAGGGCGAGAGAGGGACAGACAGACGGAAAGUGAGAGGGAGACAGAUGGGGAGACAGUCAGCGACAGGAGAGAAAGAGUCAGGGGCUGAAGGAGAGAGAGAGACAGGAACAGAGGGAGAAAGAAAAAGAGGGAGAGACACAGACAGACGGGGAGAGACAGACGGACAGCGACACAGAGAGAGACACAGACAAGGAGAGUGAUGGAGACGGAGAGGGAGAUAGAUGGGAGAGACGCAAAGAGAUGAUGGAGAGAGACAGGGAUACACAAAAGAACAGAGGGAGAGACGAGACAGACGGACACAGAUGGAGGGAGAGACACAUGGAGAGAGAGACAGAGACAC